AGGGGUGUACUUUGCUUUCGCUGGGUGGGGCGAGUUCCGAGCCCAGCGGUGGUAUCACGGUUAGGCCUUAAGAUCGCUGACGUCACUGUGUUGUUCCUCGAGGUGCCGUCCUGCGGCUCCUAGUCUUCCCUGUGGCCCCACGGCUCGGGGCGACCCCCUUUUCCCAAAACGGACAGAGGAGCUGGACUGGGAGCUGCGUCAUCCGGGUGGCGUGUGUCCGACCACCCACACAGAGGGUUGCGAAAGCGCGGCAGCCGCCGACGUCUCUGCGCAGAACCCCAGGGGCGGGCCUGGCGCGCCCUCUGACCUUGCGCCACUAUUUCGUCUUAAGCUGGCCAGGUAGUCGGGGCCCUGACUGUCUUUCUGUUCUAUGGUGUUUGGGGUCGCAAACACGUGAAGCCAGACCCAUUUACCUUUGCACAAAUGGGCACCAAAAAAAAAAAAAAAAAGAGAGGAAAUGCAAGCAAAUUUAUUAGGUAACCUGAGAAAAUGAAAAGCGCGCGCCAUAGAGAGGUAAUAUCUUUAAAUAAGGAAAAGAUAAAAAUGGCAUGUCACCUCCGAGAAAUCUCAUGCACAGCAAGGAGUUCCACAGAUUUUUUUUGUUCCAGGCUCCACCUCUCCACUUGGCCUGUGUUACUUAAUAUUAAUAGAAAAAAGACCUAAAAUCGCAAUAAAAGUCUCUGAUAGUGCCAACUGGCUUAGCAUCAAAAUUGAAAUACAAAAUGCAGUUUCAAAACUUACUUGGUUCUCAGAGCUGCUGGGUAAUUAUUUCCUGUACCUCUCAACAGCACUCAUUUACUCAUUCACUUUGGUUUUGGCCGCUUAGCAUAAUAGGUAAGAAUAUGGACUCUGAAGCCAGAGAGCAUGAGUUUAAGUGCUGACUAUGCAAUUACUUAGCUGAAUGACCUUGAAUUAAUUGAUGUCUCUGUCCCUCAUCCCCCCAUCUGUAAAAUGGGGAUAAUGGUAGGACCUACUUACUAGGGUUGCUGUGGGGAUUAAUAUUUUUAAAGUGCUUAGAGCAGUUUCUGACUCAGAAUAAGAGCUUGGUAAGCUUUUGUUUAAAAAAUAAUAUUUACUAAGUUUGGCUUACUGGGUAUCAGGUAUUGGGACUAGAAUGGUGCAGCAGACAGACUCUAAAGUAACUACCAUGAUCCCUGCCUCCUGGGUUGUGUAAUCCCCUCCCCUCGAAGGUGGGCAGGACCCAUGACUCACUUCCAAUAGAAUAUGGAAAAGGUGAUGAGAUAAUCAUUCCCAUGAAUACAUUAUGCUAUAUGACAAAAGUGAUGGGAUGUCACUCCAAUUAUUAGGUUAUAUUAUUUAAGACUUUUUGCUAGCAGACUCACUUUGACUUUUUUUUUACUGGCCUUGAAGAAACAAACUGCUAUGUUGAGAACUGCCUAUGGAGAGAGCCACAUGGCAGGGAACUUCACACAUGUUCUAGGAGCUGAGAGUGGCCUCCAGCCAGUAAAAAUACAAAUAAACAAAAAACCCUUAAGUUUGCAGUCCUACAGCCAUGAGGAAAUAAAUUCUGCCAACAACUUGCCAGCUUGGAAGUGGAUUCUACUCCAAUCGAGCCUCCAGAAGAGAAUGCAGCCCAGCUGACACCUUGAUUGCACUGCAGUGAGACCUUGAAGCAGAAAACUAAGCCUUGCCCAACACCUGGAUUACAGCCUUUUGAGAGACCCUGAACCAGAUGCCCCAGGUAGCUGAACAGGUUGGAGAAAAACACACAACCAUUCUGACUGGAGUCACUUUAAAUUCAUAACUACAAUACUACGCAAAUACCAUAUAUUUCUAUAGUCCACUCAUUUUGCAAUUCUCCUAGAUAACUGUUUCACAUCUUUUAUUUCUCUCAAAGAGAAACGUUUGUAAUAACCUUCUCCCCCAUGCUCAUUCUCAGCAGAUAACCUUGCUUCUCCUUUCAUUGAGAAAAAGGAACAAUCAGAAAAGAGCUUCCUCAAGCUCCCACCACCACAUCCAGCCAUCUACUGUAUCUGUACCUGUAUUUUUAUCUUGUCUCCAAGUGCUUAGAAUAAACUAUCAUGGUCCAAUCCUUCUACCCAUGAGCUAGGUCCCAUCCCCUUAUGCCUCCUUAAGGAUAUCAUGAUUCCUAAUAGGUAUCUCAAAAUUGGCAUGUCUUUAACUAAGCUCCUGAUCUACUCCUAUUAUCCUCUCCACUCUGCCCCACAUACAAACCUACUUCUCUCAGUCUACUCUAUGGUAACUGCAUGCCCCUGGUUUCUCAGGCCAAAAAACUUAGAGUCAUCCUUGGCACCUUCUCUCGUCCCAGAGCCAAUCUACAGUAAAUCCCAUGCACUCUAUCUUCAAAAUAUAUCCAGAAUCCUAUCCAUUUUCACCAUCACUUUCUUCCAUCCAUGUCUAAUCCAGCAUCAUCUCUUACUUGAAUUGUACAGAGCAAUAAACUCGCAACAGAUCUCCUUGCUUCUACCCUUGCCCCUCUGCCAGCCAUUCUCAAUAUAGCAGCCAGAAUGAUCUCUCGAAUUGCAUCACUCUUCUGCGCGAAACCCUCUAACGGCUUUUUAUCUCACUGGGACUAAAAGGCAAAAUCAUCAAAAGAGGGCUUCCCUGGUGGCGCAGUGGUUGAGAGUCCGCCUGCCAAUGCAGGGGACAUGAGUUCGUGCCCUGGUCCAGGUGGAUCCCACAUGCCGCGGAGCGGCUGGGCCCGUGAGCCAUGGCAGCUGAGCCUGCGCGUCCGGAGCCUGUGUUCCGCAACGGGAGAGACCACAACAGUGACAGGCCCGCGUAUCGCAAAAAAAAAAAAAAAAAAAAAAAAAACAACUAGGGCAAAAUCAUCAAAAGAGGGCUUCCCUGGUGGCGCAGUGGUUGAGAGUCCGCCUGCCGAUGCAGGGGACGCGGGUUCGUGUCCCGGUCCGGGAAGAUCCCACAUGCCGUGGAGCGGCUGGGCCCGUGAGCCAUGGCAGCUGAGCCUGCGCGUCUGGAACCUGUGCUCCGCAAUGGGAGAGGCCGCGGCGGUGAGAGGCCCGUGUACCGGGGAAAAAAAAAAAAAAUCAUCAAAAGACCCGCAAGGUCCUACAAGAGCUCCACCCCACCCCACCCCACCCCACCCCACCCCACCCCCACAUACAGUCCUUCUCUAACUCCCCCCUUUUAUGUUCUCCAUAUCCUGCCCUGGUUCACCAGACCCCAGCCACACUGGAGCUUAGAAUUUGUCCUGAGAGUGGUGGGAAGGCCCUGACAAGUUUUACAAGCCAUCUUUCUUUCUUCUCUGCCUAUAACGUAGGACAAAAGAUAGACAGUUAAUAUCACAGACCUGCACUACUACGAAACUGUUGCGAUGGGCCUUGCUGCCCCCAGCAAGGGCACAAAGGAUCCCUUUGCAUAGUUGGUGGGGCUUGAGAUACAUUUCUUAUUUUCCUUUUUGUGCCAAAAGAAAGAUUAAAAGCAGAAAAUUUAAAGACUGAAACUCUUAAUGUUUUUAAAAGUUUUUUCUUAAUUUUUUGUAUUAUACAAGUAUUAUAAGUAUUAAAAUUUGGAAUGUACAAAAGAGGUAAGGAAGGAAGGAGGGAGAAAGGGAGGGAAGGAGAGGGAGGAAAGGGGGAGGGAGAGAAAAAGAGAUAGAAAAGUAAGAAAGGAAGGAAGGAGGGAGGGAGGGAAGGAAGGAAAGAAGGAAGGAAGGAAGGAAGGGAAAGAAAGAAAAGAGAUGAAAGAAAGAGAGAGAAAGAAAGAAAGAAAGAAAGAAAGAAAGAAAGAAAGAAAGAAAGAAAGAAAGAAAGAAAGGAAGAAAUAAGGAAGGAAGGAAGGAAGGAAGGAAGGAAGGAAGGAAGGAAGGAAGGAAAGGAAAAAAAUCAAAGAACCUGCCACAUAAAACAGUUCCUAUUAACAAUUAUAUUAAAUUACUUUUUAAACCACCCCCACCCCUCCCCUCCCCAGGGAAGUGGGAGGAACAGUAGCUUCUCCUCUGAAGGCUUGACUUCAUUUAGGAUGCCACACCCUGCCCUGGCUGAGUUCACUUCUCACCCACAAGUUUUAGAAAAGGGGGUUUGCUUAUGAGUCCAUGACCUUUCUGGCAUUUCACUCAAGUAACUUCUGACUAGGUUUUGUCUUGGCCAUAAGGCUGUUUUUAAAAGAGAUUCUUGAUUUUUCUCUUGAUAGAAAAAGGAUAAAUUUAGUUGCACUACAUUUUCAGCAGUUUUAAUGAAUGAGUGAUAAAAUAUAAGCAGGCUACCCAAGAAUAGAAUAAAUCUUUUCAAAUUGAAAUGACCAUACAAACUCUCUUCUUCUCACUAGAAUCCCUCAUUAAAUUAUAUCAGGAUAGAAUUCUACUGAUCUCUGUGUUUUUUAAAAAUUGAUUUCUCCUUUUAUUUAUCUGUCACUGAAUAUACUAUCCUAUUAGUGUUAGGUUUUAUUAGUUCUAUUGUAACUAUUUUAAAAAGUUGUAAUAUUUUGUUUGGACAUCAUCAUUUUUGUUUAUAUAACUCUUUAAAGAUUGCUAUUUAUUGGUAGCCAUAAAAGAUGAAGCUUUAGGUCACAAUUCAGUACACAGAAAUAGUAAUUGAUAAAAAGUAAUUUAGAAAUUUUAAAAUAUAAAUGAAACUUUCCAAAUGGCAGUUGGUGACUCAUUGAUUACAGCAUCCAAUUAUAGCCAGUUUGGAUUAUUUUUAGAAUGAGGAAAGUACACAUUUAAUUAACAAACAAUAUGAAAUCUUUCCAAUUAUGUGCUUAAAAAUUUUCUGACCACAAAAAUUUAAGAACAUUUUCUAAUAAUUAUUUUGGUCAUUUUUUUCAUCACCCAUUCUCUUCACAAUUGAUCCAAUAAAAGUAUCUAUGAACAAUGCCCUAAAUAUGAUAGUUACAAGACUGGCAGAUUUCCAGAAUUUCAUUAUUAAAUAUAUUGGCUUGACAUUUGUUAUGCACAACAAAGUACAUUUGGCUAAAUUUAGUAUAAAAUUAAUGUUUGCAAAUCCUUUAGUUAUUUAUAACUAUAGGUAAAUUUCCAUUAUUUCUUAGGUGCAUAUUGUGAAAUAGUAGACCUAAAACACAACUUUUUUAAAAUGUGAAAGUGCCCCUUAAGUGAUUCUAUGCUGUCAUAACUUCUCUCAGAAAUCAAGUUUCAACAAAAGAAAUAAAUAUCAAUCAAGUAAAUCAUGGCUUAGAAAGCAAGGAUGUUUCUAAAUCAUUGAGCUCUUCUCAAAAUCAACUAAGAUGUACAGAACAAUUUCUACUGAAUUUUACAUGCAUUUUUUUCUUAUAGUCUCAUUUCAUCUUCAUAAUAAUCCACUAGGCUAAUUUCAAUAUCAUCUUCAUCUUAUACAUCAAUAACCUUAGGCUUAGAAAUGUUAAGUGAUUUUUUUAAAACAUCUUUAUUGGAGUAUAAUUGCUUUACAAUUUUGUGUUAGUUUCUGCUGUGAAACAAAGUGAAUCAGCUAUAUGUAUACAUAUAUCCCCAUAUCCCCUCCCUCUUGCACCUCCCUCCCACCCUCCCUCUCCUGUCCCUCUAGGUGGUCACAAAGCACCGAGCUGAUCUCCCUGUGCUAUGCAGCUGCUUCCCACUAGCUAUCUAUUUUACAUGAAAUGUUAGGUGACUUUUGCAAGGUCUCAUACCAGUGGCAGAUUUUGAAUUUGAACACAUAUUUGUCUGACUAAAAAUUUCAUUCUCUUAAUCACUGUUUUAAUAAGUCCAUAUCUCCAACCCUUUAAUUUCCAAAACAGUAAGUACUCUCCUCAUCACUCACCACCCAUUUAGGUAUAUAUUGCUUGGUGAUGUCUAAAAAAGACAAUGGUGACAAAUUAAGUAUCUGUGUACUUCUAAUCAGUAAUGUAGUGAUAUCUUAUUGUUUUAAUUUGCAUUUCCCUGAUGACAUAGGAUGUGGAGCAUCUUUUCAUAUGCGUAUUUACCAACCAUCUGUAUAUUUUCUUUGGUGAGGUGUUUGUUAAGGUCUUUGGCCCAUUUUUUUUUAACUGAGUUGGUAUAUUAUUUUUUAUCUUUUUAUUUUCAACCAAUUUGUGUCUUUUAUUCUGAAGUUUAUCUCUUAUAGACAGCAUAUAGUUGUAUCCUGACCUUUUUCCAGUCUGACAUCCUCUGCCACUAUAUUAGUGUUUAGCCCAUUUACAUUUAAUGUGAUUAUUAAUAUGGUUGGAUUUAUACCUGAAAUUUUGCUAUUUGUUUUCUUUAUGUCUCAUGUCUUUUUUGGACCUCCAUUCUUCCUUUAUUGCUUUCCUUAUGUUAAACAAUUAUUUUUAGUGUAGCAUCUUAAUUCCUCUGCUGAUUUAACUAUAAUUGUUUGGUGUUACUUUUUAACAGUUACUUUAAGAAAUACAAUAUGCCUUGUAAGUUUUCACAAUCUACUUUUGGUUAGUAAUCACAAUUCUGGUAAAGUUUAGCAAACUUGCUCUAAUAUAGCUUCAUUUUCUCAUAUAUAUUACAUAUUUAUAUGUUAUAAACCCAAAAGUAAAGUGUUAAAGUUAUUCUUUAAUACGAUCUUAGGUCUUUUUUUUUUUAAGUUAAGAGAAGAAAAGAUUAAAAUCUAUCUUUGUCUUAUAUUUACACAUAUUUACCAUUUCUGAUGCUCUUCAUUUCUUUGUGUGGAUUCAAACUGCCAUCUGGCACCACAUCCUGUCAGCCUGAAGUACAUCCUUUAGUAUUUCUUGAAGGCAGGCCUGCUAGGAAUAAAUUCCCUAAGAUUUUUUUUAUCUGGGAAUAUUUGUAAUUUACCCUCAUUUUUUGAAUCAUGGUUUUCCAGAACAUGAAGUUUACUCAUUUAUUUCUCAUCAAAUUUUCUAUUUUUACUGACAAUUCCAAUGGAUAUGGGUUUCUCACUUUCCACCCAGAUCAAGCCAGCCCUUCUAGCAGUGAAGCUGCUGGUUUUUACAGCCAGCCCCACCUUGGUAGCACUAUCAAGGUAUUAGGGUUGGGGAGUUGGAAACAUCCCCAGGCAAGAAUACCACAGACUCCCACUGCUUGUAUAGAAGUUCAGCAGUUUCUCACAAAUAAAUAUUUCUUAAUUUGUUGUUUGUCUUUGGUCUUUUCCCAGACUCCUGAAAUGAUCAUUUUUUGAAAUUUUUGUCUAGUUUUGUACUUGUUUUUUGGGGAGAGCAUUUUCUGCCAGAAGUACUGCUCUCUGAUUUAUAUAGAUUAAAUAUUCUCAAAGGAUUUAAUGCUUAGAACAGCCAUUGACUUAACGCUUUAUAAUUUUGGCUGCUCAGGGCAGUAGGAGUGAUUUCCUAUCCUAUUAUAGAAACUUAUUGCUCUAGAGUGUCACAUUUUAACUUUAUUUUUUCCUAUUGGAAGUAUAGCUAGUUCCUUUUCAUGAGAGAUAACAGGGGACUUACAUUUACUGAGCAUAUACCAGGCUACUGACAUGAUACACUCUCUCAUGCUCUAUUUCUCUUUAAAAUAAUGAUUGUGGGCUUUUUAUAACUGUAAAUGCAACAUAAACUGGUUUUUGAAAAAUUGAACAAUACAGAAAAGAUUCAUCUCUCCAGAAAUAUUUUAUAAUGUCACCAUCUAGAGAAAGACAUACUUAACAUCAGUCUACUUCCCCUCUCCCCCUCCACCCUUUAAAUCUGUGUGUGUGUGUGUUUUGAAAUUAGUUGCAGAAGGUGGGAAUUAAAUCUGCUCUCAAGAUCAUAGCCCUCUUCCAAGGUUCUAAGAUUUGUAAAAAUCUUUUUCUCAUUCCAACUACUGGGGUAGAAGAAAAAGCCAUAGCCCUUCGAACUUGAACAGUGCCUAAGACAUACAUUUUGGUUAUACAAAGAUAAGCAAAGAUUCUGUUCUUUAAGGAGAAACCAGAUGUUUAGCUCCAAAAACUAUAUUGCCCUCUAUAUGCAAGAGUUUUUUCUCUGUGGGUACAUAUUUUAUCCUCUAAGAAUUUUUAAAAUAUAAAUAUGGAUUGACUGCUUUGCUCUUAAAAAUUAUUGUUAACAGUAGGAUAGACUGCUAUCAGGAGAAAACUUGGACUAGAGAAGAAAAUAAUCUUAAUUUGAGCUGGUGCUUCCUCCUUUUUCUUUCUUUCUUUCUUUUUUUUUUUUUUAUAGGAAGCAAAAUGUAAUUUACAGCCAGGCCCAGGAAGAAGCAAAUCUUCAAUAACCAAGCGUAUGUUGGUUGAAAGAAGCAGCCAAACCAAUAGCAAUCUUUAAUGUCUUGUCUUCUUUCUCCCAAGAGGGAAAAAAUAAAUGCUGUUCUUGGUUAGUUUGAGUUUUACUCAUUUUUUUAGGUGAAGUGAGUAGGAAAUCGUUGGCUGCUCUCAUUGAUGGGGAAACAAAUAGAACUGGAGUAUCCCCAUAACUCUCAGUCCAGAAAGGACAGCUAGUUCCUCUUUUCCCAGGAGCUGACGCAGUCUGAGUGGAAGGGAGUCAUCAUUACCAUCUAACCAAAGCCUGAGGCAUUCCCCUGAAAUGUUGAGAAAGAGGGGAAAAAGUUCUUUCUCCAGUAGAUGGGACUGGACUCUCCCAAGGGAACAGAAGCUGUGAGGCCACUCAGUUGAGGGAGUUUGAUGGCAGAGGCUGUGAGAGAACAGAGGAGAACUGAGGGAAGAGGGGGUUGUGGAAGAAGAGAUUGAUUGAUCAGUCAGUGCAGACUCUGUAAACCUAUUUGGUAGCCAUGGUGAGGAUCUGCUCUUGACUCAGUUCUAGGGAAGCUAUCAGUCUAAGAUGCAUGUGGGUACUGCACCAGAGUUCCAAACUAUCUCAAAUGGACCCAAUAUGUAGUCCAUCUGCACUGUAUUUUUUUAGCUUCUGAGAGCAAGAUAUUUUUGAAAUCCAAAUAAUAAGAUAAUCCCAAUUUCAUGUCUUUGGGUUUCCCACAAGCAGAAAAUCAGGUGACCACUCAACAUGCUCUGUACCCAAGGAACACAAUCUUGGACAUACCAAGCAGCUGGGCUCCUUAUUUCCACACACUCGUCUGUGAGUACUAUCUUUACAUAGCCCAAAUGCUCAUUAAAUUGCUCCCCCAAAGAAAAGAUGAAUUCUCUUUGGAGGUAUAAAAUGCAGCUUGUGAAAUCGUAAUAGUUUUUCAAUCUGGGAAAGCCACCCCAAAACUCUGCUAAAAUGAUCAGGGAUUCCCUGGUUUCUUGUUCAGAACUUAUAUCUAGGAUCUUAAUUAUUCCAUUUAGAUUUUUUUUAACAUGGUGCCUGGUUUUUUGCGAACAAUGUCUUUGGACUGGAAAAAUAUAACUUCCUAUAUCAUACCAAUUCCCUAGAUUAGAAAGAGAAGGGUUACGUCACCCAUCAGGCUUGGCUGCUAACUCAGCGUAGCCAGGCAAACCUGCCCUUUUCUGUAGAUGGGCUAUGAGCAUUUGUUGAGUUGUUCUAACAGAGAUCACAGUUAUUGUACUUACCCUUGAUUGAGAACUUUGUUUUUCCAUAAACAAAGUUUCGAGUUUCUGUGUUGCUAAGGAACUUCAGAAGGGCUGAAGGUGUGGUAGGGGUGGUGCAGGGCAAGAAUAAUGAAAGGCCUAUGAACUCAGGCAACUGGAAGGCUGAGACAUGUCGUAGUCCAAGUCCAUUCAUAUCAUGAGGUCAGUCAUUACUAGUGUAAUUUUUGUUUUCUCUUGAAAAAGUAGAAAAUUAGUGUCCCAGAUCAUGUUCCUGGAGCUCAAAGAAAUAUCAUGAGCAAUGAAUGAAGUGUGGAUUUUAUCCAAGCACUGUAGUCUGUCUACAUAGAACAUAUGUAUGUGGGGCAUAUCUACAAAAUUGUUCCGCUUUAUUGAAGCUAACUGUGAAAAGUGUAAUUAAAGAGAGACUUAAGGCUAGAAAUUCUGGCUACCCUGGGGAUAGACUGAAUUAGGCCACAAAACUUUACUCUUAGCAUAUUAAACCAAUAGCUUAAGAAAAAAUUAGCCCACAUGGGCCCUCACCUACAUUAAUAGUAAAAUAUCCUUUGUAAAUUAGUCAUCAGCCAACUAACCCAGCUUUUCAUCCUGAAGUAAUAAUCCUCUUUUAGCUAGUCACACAGCUAUAAACUAUAAGCAAAAUGAAGAGCUCAUAAUCUUUGGAAGGAAAAGAUAAUAUUAAAAUCCCAAACAAAACUCUUGCCCAAAGCUUCAUUUAGACCUGCCUGACAGCAAAAUUGUAUUAAUGAGGUUAACUUUAAUAUAAUAAUUUUAUAUGAAACAAAAAUUUGAUGGUUGCAAUAUUUAUUUUUUGCCCACAACGUCAAAGGGUAAAGAAUAUAUAGUUUAUACUUAAUCAUCCUUAGACAGGCUUAAGAACUUAAAAGAAUAAUAACAGUAAAAACAAGGAAGAAGGAAAAAACCUUAAUAACUAUACGCUGGACCAUCAUAGUUGACACAUUUUCCAACAACUGCAAGUAGAAAUGAGUUUUCCAAAUGUCAACUUGAUAGAAAUUAAAAGUAUGGAUUUGCCCAAAAAUCCUGAUAUUUGGGAUGUUUCUUACAUCAAACGUAGUCAGGGUGAACUAUGUACUAAACCAAUACGGUUAGAGAAAUGGAGAUAAUACUGAAAGGAAAAAGCUUUGAAAAGUUCAACCUGCAGCAUGACAUGACCAGAAUAAUUAGGAUGAUGAUGAGAACAAAGCAAAAGUACAGAAAAAACUCUUAAUGGGGCGUUUCAUGUGAAUUAGCUCAUUUAGUCAUCAUAACAAUUUUAUGAUGUAAUUACAACUAUUAUCUCUGUUACGAAUGAGAAAACCAAGGCUUGUAGAGUUUAAGCAGCUGCUUCAGUCACAGAAUUAACAUGUGAGGAAGUCUCUCCAGCUGUAAAACUGCGAUGGUGAAUCAUACAAUCCCUUAUCACUCAAACGUACCUGUCUGUCUGCAUUUCCAAGUCACCUCCUUUGCCUGGUCUUUAAAUCUCUAAUUGUCUCUGUCUGUCUUUCUCUCUGUCUCUCUCUCUCACACACACACACGUAUGGCAUCUGAUUAUCUCUGUCUCUUACCCUAGUAAUUUGGCCUUUGUAAGCAGGCAAGUGGCCCUGAUGUUCUGUCCAAAAAGAUAUUGGGGAACAUAUAGCAUUAAAAAGAACAGAUAUUAAAAAGGGGAAAAAAAACCUUCUGUUCCUUAACUCUUGGCCAUUAUGUCCACUUGUGAUACCCACCAAUGUUGCACCAUCAGCAGCCUUGCCAGAUCUUCCCUAUUCCUAAAGGUUAGCCCAUUAGCUGAUUUUCCUUUGGAUUGGAAGAAGAAAAUGAUUAUGUGCAUGAAUAGAUAAUAUGAGUAAGUGGCCGGAAGCCAUUUUGAGUGGCAGAAUUCCCAUUUGCCGAAAACAUGAAAGUGACACCAAGUCACCACUUGGAAGCAGCCUAGGUCAGUGGCUAUAGCUCCAUGUUACCUAUCAUCACAGCACCAACCUCCAAGUUCUCUUUCUUGGCUACAAUCUAAAAGUCAGAUGCUGAGGCCCUUGAUGGAUAUGCAGCAAUGAUAAGAAGAGAGCGCUUUACCACAAGCUGGAAGCCAUCUCUGAUUCAAAGUGCUGAGUGAACACUUAGUCCCCACCCCUGCUGCUCCAUGUGUAAAGAGCACCUUCAGAGUCUCACUCUUGCCAUCACUCCACGUGCUUACCUACUCAUUUCCAGAGGACCACGAGGGAACCGACGGGAAAACCCAACUACUACUGGACAGCUUUGAUGACCCUAUCACCUACUUCACAGAAUGCAGAAAUUCAGGAUGCAAUACAACUGAUUUGCUAAAGAGAUUGGGAAGGAUUUCUUAGCUUAGCUACAAAUGAGGACCAGAAUGCCUCGUGGAGUCAAAACUUGACCACACCUACUAAAUUAGCAGUGGCCCUGGGAUGUGGUCUGGGAUGAUUUCCAAACAAGUGUUAAGCAUUAUUUGUCAUGGACUUUUGGCAAUAAAAUGUUUAACUUUUUUAUUAAAGAUCACUAAGACGUU